CGGAAAAUCCGGUCCUGGCCCGUAAGGACCCGCAGGGCGGGGCAGAUGGGAGACUGUCCCCCCCCCCCCGGGGGUCUCUGCCCUGAGCUGGGGGCUUGGCCCCGCUUCGCGGCGGGGAGGGGGGACUGAAGGAGUCGCACACAGAGCGCAGGCGCCGUCGCCCCCCACCCGCUCACCAGGGGUCCGGAGCCAUCGCUGCGCCCGGGCCCUCCCCCUCUCUGGCACCGGUCGGGGCUGCUGAGUUCGUAGCCAGGCUCCGGACACUUCCGGGCUAGCAGUGGACCUAUGCUCUGGCUAGAGGUGAAAGUGGGCCGGUACAGGCCAGUACAGCAUAUUGAUUGUAGGUAUCUUUUCUAGGAGAGUGACUAAUGUAAACCUUGGGGGAAAUGUUGGGAACUUCAAAGAACUGUUUGGUACAAUACGCGUGAAAUGGAAAAUGCAAAUUCUGCCCUCUGAAGCCAGCCUUUUGAAGCUACACCUGGGGAGUGAAAUCCAUCGUCUACCAAUUAGCUACUUCUGGAAAGGCCUGAUCAAAGCCCCUCCCCACGCAAAGGAAUAAAGGAAAGUCUGAACUGUUCAUGAGGGUGCUUGUUCUCAGUUGUGGCUGUCAUGAACUGGUAACCACAAGAGACCCCUGAAGGGGUGGUGGGGUUGAAGGACUCACAUGCCAGAACCCAUGUUGGAGACAGUUGGAGGGGUCUCUGCUGGACUCCUUAGCA